rnacentral:rRNA from 1 species
UACGUAGGUGGCAAGCGUUGUCCGGAAUUAUUGGGCGUAAAGCGCGCGCAGGCGGUCCCUUAAGUCUGAUGUGAAAGUCCACGGCUCAACCGUGGAGGGUCAUUGGAAACUGGGGGACUUGAGUACAGAAGAGGAAAGCGGAAUUCCACGUGUAGCGGUGAAAUGCGUAGAUAUCGGAAGGAACACCAGUGGCGAAAGCGGCUUCCUGGUCCAGCACCGACGUCAGGCACGAAAGCGUGGGGAGCGAACAGG